UUUCCGUAGGUGAACCUGCGGAAGGAUCAUUAAAAAAUUGGACUCCAUUGGUGAGUUCAUUAAUAAUCCCUACCCUUUGUGAAUUUGUUUGUUUGAAUAAUUUUUUUUCCAAAAAAAAUUAUUGAAUGUCUUUCCUUGUUUUGGUGGAGCUUGUAAAGUGAAACCAGGCAGGGGAAUGGCAAACAAUAAUUAUUUUUGAAAAAGACCUUUUUUUAAAAUUAAACUUUUUGUAUUCAUUUGUCUAAAAUUAAUUUUUAUAAUAUAAAAACAACUUUUGACAAUGGAUCUCUUGGUUCUCGCAACGAUGAAGAACGCAGCAAAAUGCGAUAAGUAGUGUGAAUUGCAGAAUACGUGAAUCAUCGAAUCUUCGAACGCAUAUUGCACUUUUUUAGUUUACUAAAAAAGUAUGUCUGUUUGAGUAUCAGUAAAAUAUUCUCAUAAAAAACAUUGUUUUUUUUAUGGUUAUGAGUGUUUUACAACGAUAACAAGUUGUUUCACUUUAAAUUCUUUGUUAUCAAAAAAAUCACUAAAAGCUAAUUUUAAAGAUUUUUUAAAAUUGGAUAAAAUUUUCCCGUAAAAAGGAAUAACCUAAACAAUUUAAAAAAAUUAAAAUUGGUUUGAUUUUUUUUGAAACCCAAAGGAAAAAAAAACGAAAUUAACUUGAUCUCAAAUCAGAUAAGAGUACCCGCUGAACUUAAGCAUAUCAAUAAGCGGAGGAAAAGAAACUAACUAGGAUUCCCUCAGUAACGGCGAGUGAAGCGGGAAGAGCUCAAAUUUGAGAUCUUCAAGGUUUUACCUUGACGAAUUGUAGUUUAAAGAAGUGUUUUCUGUUGGAGUUUUGGUAAAAGUUCUUUGGAAAAGGACAUCAUAGAGGGUGAGAAUCCCGUAUUUGACCAUUAUCUCCAGCUUUGUGAUACACUUUCAAAGAGUCGGAUUGUUUGGGAAUGCAGUCCAAAAUGGGUGGUAAAUUUCAUCUAAAGCUAAAUACUGGCGAGAGACCGAUAGCGAACAAGUACCGUGAGGGAAAGAUGAAAAGAACUUUGAAAAGAGAGUUAAACAGUACGUGAAAUUGUCAAAAGGGAAGCGUUUGACACCAGUGUUGUUUUCUCGAAAAUCAAUUAAAAAAGGCCGGAUUUUGUGUUGUAUUGACUUUAUCAGCUUUCUGCACUCUUUUCUUGUCUUUUUUAAUGCACUUUUCGUUUAACAAGUCAACAUCAAUUUCUUUUGUUGUAAAAGGGUCAUUGGAAGGUGGCUUUCUUUUCGGAGAAAGUGUUUAUAGCCUUUGGCCUCUGCAAUCGGAGAGAUUGAGGUCUGCAGCGUAGAUCCUUCGGGGUUAGAUACAUUUGUGCUAAGUUAUAGCCUUUCAUAGACAACUUGUUGACUAUGAUCAGUCAUGUAGCUUACUCGCUUAUGCUAUUU
rnacentral:misc_RNA from 1 species